rnacentral:rRNA from 1 species
AUGAAUCUCCUUGCCUGGAACUGUCGAGGAUUGGGGUUGGACUCGACAGUUGGCGAACUUCGAGAUCUCAUACGGUCUCACAACCCAGCAGUGGUUUUCCUUUCUGAAACAAAAAAAUUAGCUAGAGCUAUGGAACGGUUGAAAUGGAGUUUGGGUUUCACAAAUGGAGUUGUUGUGGGCUGCAAUGGAAGAAGUGGGGGAUUGGCUUUGUGGUGGAGAGAUCAUAUUCAGGUUACGGUGAGGCCGUGGUGCCAAUAUUUCAUUGAUGCUGAGGUGGAGUGGGAGGGGAAGCUCCAUAUGAUCACUAUAUUCUAUGGGGAGCCCAAAACUGAACUACGAAAAAAAUCGUGGGAUGCCAUUCGUUUUCUUCGGGCCCAAGACAAUCUACCCUGGCUCUGUGUCUGUGAUUUUAACAAGGCCCUCUUCCACACAGAUCAAGUGGGGGUAACCCGAGAGGUUUUAAUCAGAUGGAGGAGUUCAGAGAGUGCCUCGCCGAUUGCGGCCUGGCUGAUCUUGGUUUCUAUGGAUACCCCUUUACAUGGGAUAAUAAAAGAGAUGGACAGGAUAAUAUUCAGGUUCGAUUGGAUCGUGCAACCUGUAAUGAUGGUUUUUUAA